rnacentral:rRNA from 1 species
AGAGUUUGAUCAUGGCUCAGAUUGAACGCUGGCGGCAUGCCUUACACAUGCAAGUCGAGCGGCAGCGCGGGGGCAACCCUGGCGGCGAGCGGCGCACGGGUGAGUAAUGCAUCGGAACGUGUCCUCUUGUGGGGGAUAACCAGUCGAAAGACUGGCUAAUACCGCAUGAGAUCGAAAGAUGAAAGCAGGGGACCCGCAAGGGCCUUGCGCGAGAGGAGCGGCCGAUGCCCGAUUAGCUAGUUGGCGGGGUAAAAGCCCACCAAGGCGACGAUCGGUAGCUGGUCUGAGAGGACGACCAGCCACACUGGGACUGAGACACGGCCCAGACUCCUACGGGAGGCAGCAGUGGGGAAUUUUGGACAAUGGGGGCAACCCUGAUCCAGCCAUGCCGCGUGUGUGAAGAAGGCCUUCGGGUUGUAAAGCACUUUCGGACGGAACGAAAUCGCACGAUCUAACAAGUCGUGUGGAUGACGGUACCGUAAGAAGAAGCACCGGCUAACUACGUGCCAGCAGCCGCGGUAAUACGUAGGGUGCGAGCGUUAAUCGGAAUUACUGGGCGUAAAGUGUGCGCAGGCGGUUGAGCAAGUCGAGUGUGAAAGCCCCGGGCUUAACUUGGGAAUUGCGCUCGAAACUACUUGACUGGAGUGUGGCAGAGGAAGGUGGAAUUCCACGUGUAGCGGUGAAAUGCGUAGAGAUGUGGAGGAACACCAAUGGCGAAGGCAGCCUUCUGGGCCAACACUGACGCUCAUGCACGAAAGCGUGGGGAGCAAACAGGAUUAGAUACCCUAGUAGUCC